UGUGUUGGCUGGGCCUGUUGAAAUUCUUCCCACAGCCUCAUGAGAGAAAGGGGCACACAGAGAAAGGAACAGGUGUUCAGGAUGUCUAUAUAUUAAAAAAAAGAAACACAUGCAAGAACUUCAUAAGAAAGUGUUUUAAGGAAUUGUAGACACAGGGGCUCAAGAAGGAAAUCUCUUUCUCCUUAAUGAAAAUAAUGUUGGGAAAAGAGAAAUUCAGGAAUUCUCUCCCCUAUGAUUCAUAUCCCCAGAUAUUCUCUGGCAUUCUCACUAUAUAGUUUCCUUUUUUUUUUUUUUUUUUUUUGUACUGUAUUGCUUUUUUUUUUUUUUUUUUUUUUCCCCCAGAAAGAGAAAAUCUUACUGGAGAAAACCAUGCCAAGCCUGAGAACAUUGAGUACCCAAGGCCAAGCUCAACAAGGGCAGAGAACUUUCCGGCAAGAAAUUAUCCCAUCUGUAACAAGGCCAGUCUCAUGGUCUACAGCUCACAAUUGGCAAGAAGAUAGCCUUGAUAAAAUCCUUGUUCUGGAGUUUGUUCAAAGUUCAUGGGAACAGCAUCACAAUGUAUUAUGCUUGCCAAAAUUGCUUACGUGGAAUUGAAUCACAAGGAAACAAUCAGAUUAACUCAGUAUAUGGUAUGUUCUACAAGACAGCUACCCUGGAUUCUUCAAAAAACUUGAAAAACAGCAAAACAAAAAGGUCCUGCAGGGCUGGAGGUAUGUAAAUUUAGAUUAAAAAGACUAAAUAUACAUGAUAACCGAAUGCAAUGUGUGAACCUUGAAUGAAUAUGGGGAGCCCUCCCUCUCAAAAAAAAAAAGAAAAGAAAAAAGCUUAACUAUAAAACAUAUUAUGGGACAAUUAGGGAUAUUUGAUUGUGGACUAUGAAUUAUAUAUUAUUGAAUUUAUGAUAAAUUUCUUGGGUAUGACAAUGGUACUAUGGCUAUGUAGGAGAAUAUUCAUUUUUUUAGGCAAUACAGUGUAAAUAUUUAGGGGUGAGGUAUUAUCAUUUCUGCAGCUUCCUUUCAAAUGGUUCAGUAAAAAGUAUGUAAAUGAGUACAUCUAUAAGUAUAUAGGUGUAUAAAAAGAAAUAAAAUAUUCUUUGGAAUAUUUAGAACAUGGAAAAAGCUGAUAAUGGUUUAACUUCUGUGAGAGGUUCAUAGGUAUUCAUUAAACUGUUCUUCCAACUUUUCUAAAGGUUAGACAACUUUCAAAAUAAAAAAUUGAGGGGGAAAAAGUUUGUGGAAGAAAACCAGCUAGCCAAUCUGCAUGUUUUCUUCCAGUGAGUGUUCAGGGAGGAGCCCUCAGUUCAACCUCAUGGACACUGGUGCUUUUAUCCUUUCAGAGACUAAGGGCUCACAUGAUAUACUUAAGCCUAUGGCCAAUUCUCACUUGGGAAAUCCUUGGUUCUUUAUAAUUUUGCAGCUGAAAAUCUGGAGUAGGAGAUAGAUGUGAAGAGAGGGCUUGUUCAAAAAAAGGAAGCUAUAAAACAAACAUGCAUUUGAGAGGGCAACCAUUAAAAAAUCCUAAGGAAGUAAAAUCCUUUGAGUUUUUAGCAGGCAUGUGGCAUCUGCGUAUAUGAAGUAGGACUCUUGUCUGCUUAGGUGAUGAAGAAUAAGAAUUCCAGGGUAAAAUAAUUCAGGAAUUUUCACCUGGAAUUUCUGGGAGAAAUCAAUAUAACUAGGAGAAGGAAUUUCUUUUUAAGAAUGGAUUUAUUAAGGACAGAUGGGUCCUGGGGUCAUUCUUCUUAGAGCUUAAUUGCCAUGUUCUGAAACAGCUUGAGAUCUUAAUGACUUGACUCCUUCGUAUCUCCUGGUGUCAAAUUUAAAACCAACCACACAAAACAUUGGGGGCAAAAUGUAGUCCAGUAAACAAACUUAUUAAUAGAAAUGAAAUUCCACAGAGAACACAGACGCACACAAGUCAGGGGGAUAUUAAAUUCCUGUGAUAAGUUAACAUGGAUUAAGCAAAACUUUUUAUAGUGCAUGUUCUUAGUAUCAAAUUGUGAAGCACAGCAACAUCUGAUAAUAUAAUUAUACUAUUUAUAUUAACUAUUUCUAAUAGGUUGCAAAUAAUGCUAAAGGGAUAUAUUGAAGGAAAACAUUGGUCCACUCAAUAAAUAAUUAUUGGACACCCAUUCUGUUCUGAAUUUGGAAAUAAAUCCAGGCACAUAUCUUCCUGGAGUCUGAAUUUGGAAAUAAAGCCAGGAACAUAUCUUCCUGGAGUCUACUCUCCACCAACAAUUAUUACAUGAUAAAUUACAAAAGUAGCAAAUGUGACACAAGAAAUGUUUGUAGAUCUGACACUUGGAAUAGCUUAAUUUUAUGAACACUAAUAAUCACAGAAGAAAAUUAUCAAAUGUAGAACUAUUUUUAAUAUAUUUAAAGUUUUUCUGAUUUUUUUCAUUGUCCAAAGGCUUUAUGGAGGCUGUAAUUUUCUAAGAUAACUUCUUAAAUACUGAAAGUUGGAACUUUUUUUCUCUUGCUUAGAUCCCUUACCCUCACUUUGCUGAUAGAAUGAUUGACAGGGUCAAUAGCUAUGCACGUGAUGGUUGGCAGGAAGAUUGCAUGGGACAUUGCUCACAGUCCUCCAUUCCACCAGCAUGGCAGUAUGCCCAGUGGUUAAAGACCAAUACUAGUGUUAGAUUCCUGAGUUCAAGUCCAGGUCUGCCACUUGGUAGCUGGGCAAUACGGGCAAAUCACUUAACUCUCUUAAGCUCAGUUUCCUCCGCUGAAAAUGAAGAUAACAAUAGUAUUACCCUCCUCAACUUUUUAAAAUUUUAGCUUCUAAAUAAGAUAAUGCAGAUAAAGCAGUUGGUAGAAAGUAAGUCCUCAAUAGAUUUUAACCAUUUUUUAAAUUUGAAAAUCUAUUUGGCUUUAUUAAGCAAUUUGUGAAUCAGGCAUCAUCCCAUCUAGCAAGUGGAAGGAAGCAAACUAGAUUUUAACUAUUAUAUCGUUACUUUAAUUUUGUUUUUUGACUAGAAGGUUGUCUGAUCAUGCCUACUCUGGGCAUGCUCACUGGCUUUUUACUCUUAUUUUUCAACUUAAAUGCAACUUUAUCCCCAAUUUCUUACCAAAUGCAUUAAUUUUCUUGUCCUGUAUACACAGUAAUCAAAGUGGGUUUUUACUGCCCUAGAGGUCAAAAAACAUUAAAUUCUAUCUGUAGUAUGAAAACUCUAUGUCAAACCAAAUUUGACGUAGGAAAGGAAAUUUGAGAGUAUCAAAGAUUAAUCAAGAAAGAACAGGCUUUUAAAAGGAAAAUAUACAAAGUUGAGAAUGGUUUUUUCCCUGCAUGAACAUCUGGAAUGACUGCAUACUCAUGUCAUACUCAUGAUACCAGCUAGUGCCAGCUACUUCUGAGUCCACUGGGGCUUUUUUCCUAGCAAUUUUGGGAAAUCUGCAUCUUUUUACUUUUGUUUUUUGAUGCUGGACAGUGUGACAGAGAUGGCUAAUUACCUCAAUAUUCAUCCCCCCCCCCUUUUUUUUGGUAGAGAAC
rnacentral:lncRNA from 1 species